AUUAGUGUAGGUUAUGUUGUAAACUGUUGGAUUUAUUAUUCAAAGAUGCGGAGGCCAUUAAUA
rnacentral:tRNA from 1 species